UAGCGACGCACACGCACACGAGCCGGAACUGCAGCGAGUUCCAGUGCGCAGCCGCCACCGCCCGUCCGUCUGAUUCCCCUCCGCUCCGGCGCUCCCGGCCGUCCUUGCCUGCUCGCCGGCUCUCUGCCUCUCUCUGCACGCCAGCUCUGCUCCGGGAUCCGGCCUCUCCUGCCCUUGUUUCCGCCUGUCUGCCACGCUCAACUGCACUGCAGGGAGUCCCAAACUCAGACUGGCCAGACCCAACUGGCUGCAGAUUGGUGUUGCUCUUCUUCCACCGUUGAUCAAGUUAUGAAAGACACUGAUGAAGCAAGCCAUUGAUUUGAAACAUAUUUGCAAGGAUGAGUAUCUCCGACAACAAUGUAGGAGAUAUGCCCUAGAUGCAAUAAUAAAUGCUAUUACUUAUCUCCAUGUUCAUAAUUAUGUUUAUGUUCCAUGCUAUAACUCCU